UACGGGGGGGGCAAGCGUUGUUCGGACUUACUGGGCGUAAAGGGCUCGUAGGCGGCCAACUAAGUCAUACGUGAAAUCCCUCGGCUUAACCGGGGAACUGCGUCUGAUACUGGAUGGCUUGAAUUCGGGAGAGGGAUGCAGAAUUCCAGGUGUAGCGGUGAAAUGCGUAGAUAUCUGGAGGAAUACCGGUGGCGAAGGCGGCAUCCUGGACCGAGAUUGACGCUGAGGAGCGAAAGCCAGGGGAGCAAACGGG
rnacentral:rRNA from 1 species